rnacentral:ncRNA from 1 species
UAUCUGGUUGAUGCCAGUAGUCAUAUGCUUGUCUCAAGAUUAAGCCAUGCAUGUUAAGUACAAACCUUUAUUACGGUGAAACGCGAAUGGUCAUUAAAUCAGCUAUGGUUCUUAGAUCGUUCAUUCUACUGGAUAACUGUGUGAAAAUCCUAGAGCUAUACGUGCUUUUACAGCCCUGACCUCACGGGAGGGGCGCAUUUAUUAGAUCAAAACAAUCGGGGAAUUGCCCCGUCUGCUUGUGUACUCUGGAUAACUUUUUGUGCUGAUGCAUGGCCUCUUGCGCUGGCGAUCGUAUCUUUUCAAGUGUUGCCCCUAUACUUCGAUGGUAGGUGAUUGCCUAACCUAUGGUUAUAACGGGUAACGGGAAUCAGGGUUCCCGCCGAUUCCGGACGAGGGGCCUGAGAACGGCUACCAUUAAGGAAGGCAGCAGGCGCGCAAAAUUAAGCCACUCCGCACGGGGAGGUAGUGAUUCGAAAAAUAACGAUACGGGACUUUUUGAGGGCCGUAAUUGGAAUGAAGUACACUUUAAUCCGUUAACAGUAUCUAUUGGAGGGCAAGUCUGGUGCAGCAGCGCGGUAAUUCCAGCUCCCAAUAGGUAUAUAUUAAUGUUGCUGCAGUUAAAAAGUUCGUAGUUUGGAUCUGAGGACUCGAAUUGGUGGUGGGCAGCCAUACGGUGUUCUGCCGAUUCGGGUCUAGUCUAAGUGGUGCUCGCUUUGGUGUCUUUAAUUGAUGCCCUGGUGCCCGGCAAGUUUACUUUGAUAAAAAUUAGAGUGUCAAGAGGCCAUUAGCCCCGGGAAUACUCAGCAUGGAAUAAUGGAAUACGGCUUCGGUUCUAUUUUGUUGUUUCGGAACGCCGAGGUAAAUGAUUAAGAGAGACAGACGGGGGCAUUCGUACUGCGGUGUUAGAGGUGAUUCUUGGAUCGCCGCAAGACGAACAACUGCGAAAGCAUUGCCAACGAAUGUUUUUAAUCAAGAAGAAAGGUCAGAGGUUCCCCGAAGAACGAUCAGAUACCGUCUGUUUCUGACCAUAACGAUGCACUGGCGUCCGAGAUAGUUUGCUUAUUACUCGGUGAGCUCGGGAAACCACAGU